rnacentral:pre_miRNA from 1 species
GAUUUCAAAUGAAAAUGUCAUCAACAACAAAGUUGUAUAACUCAUCAAUACCUAUAAAUUUUAUUUUGGUCAUUUUCUUCAUCCAACAAAGUAAUAGUAGCAUUGUUCAUAAAAUUUACAUAUCUCUUGUAUAGUUUUAUAAAAUAAUACAGAUAUGUAAAUUUUAUGAAAAAUGUUAGUAUCACUUUGUUGGAUGAAGAAAUGAGCAAAAUAAAAUUUAUAGAUAUUGAUAAGUUAUACAACUUUGUUGUUUAUGACUUUAUCAGUUGAAAUC